rnacentral:tRNA from 1 species
GUGCCUGUAGCUCAGCUGGUAGAGCACUCGACUUUUAAUCGAGUGGUCGAGGGUUCGAUCCCCUCCGGGCACA